UUUUACAAGACACCUGAUACGACGCCGUAUCCCAAGCAUUUUUCAAUAAAAUCACCGUGUGAAGAGAAACUGUGUCCUCUUUCAUCUUUCUCUGAGAAUAAACAAAAAAUCAAUUCGAGAUUCGCUCUUCUCUCCAAAACCUUUGAAAUCGAGAAGAGCGAUUGGUGGGAGUGAAGAUGGGGUUGACGUUCACGAAGCUGUUCAGCAGGUUGUUUGCGAAGAAGGAAAUGAGGAUUUUGAUGGUGGGUCUCGAUGCUGCUGGUAAGACUACCAUCUUGUACAAGCUCAAGCUCGGUGAAAUCGUCACCACUAUCCCCACCAUUGGGUUUAAUGUUGAGACUGUGGAGUACAAGAACAUCAGCUUCACUGUGUGGGAUGUUGGGGGUCAGGACAAGAUCCGUCCACUGUGGAGGCACUACUUCCAGAACACUCAGGGACUUAUUUUUGUGGUUGAUAGCAAUGAUAGAGACCGUGUUGUUGAGGCAAGGGAUGAGUUGCACAGGAUGUUGAAUGAGGAUGAACUUAGAGAUGCCGUCUUGCUUGUUUUUGCCAACAAACAAGAUCUUCCCAAUGCAAUGAAUGCUGCUGAAAUAACUGACAAGCUUGGACUUCAUUCACUCCGCCAACGCCACUGGUAUAUCCAGAGCACUUGUGCAACAUCUGGAGAGGGUCUCUACGAGGGUUUGGACUGGCUUUCCAACAACAUUGCCAGCAAGGCAUGAGACAUUUGAAAUUUUUGGUGUGGUCUGGCCUUUUCAUGCGGGUCUGGCGGUUCUUGGAGAAGGAUGCUUUUCCUUUCUAGUGAAUGUUGUAAUAGCAGAAUGUUUGUUAGAAAUAUUCACUUUUUUAGUGUAACUUGGGUUUGUAUGAUUACUUAAAUCAGCUAAUACUUUUAGCUAUAGUUGGGUUUGCAUGACACUUAUUUUUCAUGUUUA